rnacentral:rRNA from 1 species
CUAACACAUGCAAGUCGAACGGUAACAGGAAGAAGCUUGCUUCUUUGCUGACGAGUGGCGGACGGGUGAGUAAUGUCUGGGAAACUGCCUGAUGGAGGGGGAUAACUACUGGAAACGGUAGCUAAUACCGCAUAACGUCGCAAGACCAAAGAGGGGGACCUUCGGGCCUCUUGCCAUCGGAUGUGCCCAGAUGGGAUUAGCUAGUAGGUGGGGUAACGGCUCACCUAGGCGACGAUCCCUAGCUGGUCUGAGAGGAUGACCAGCCACACUGGAACUGAGACACGGUCCAGACUCCUACGGGAGGCAGCAGUGGGGAAUAUUGCACAAUGGGCGCAAGCCUGAUGCAGCCAUGCCGCGUGUAUGAAGAAGGCCUUCGGGUUGUAAAGUACUUUCAGCGGGGAGGAAGGGAGUAAAGUUAAUACCUUUGCUCAUUGACGUUACCCGCAGAAGAAGCACCGGCUAACUCCGUGCCAGCAGCCGCGGUAAUACGGAGGGUGCAAGCGUUAAUCGGAAUUACUGGGCGUAAAGCGCACGCAGGCGGUUUGUUAAGUCAGAUGUGAAAUCCCCGGGCUCAACCUGGGAACUGCAUCUGAUACUGGCAAGCUUGAGUCUCGUAGAGGGGGGUAGAAUUCCAGGUGUAGCGGUGAAAUGCGUAGAGAUCUGGAGGAAUACCGGUGGCGAAGGCGGCCCCCUGGACGAAGACUGACGCUCAGGUGCGAAGCGUGGGGAGCAAA